CUGGCCUCAAGCCAUCCUCCCACCUCAGCCUCCCAAAGUGCUGGGAUUACAUGCAUGAGCCACCACAUCCAGCCUACCUAAAAUAUUGAAUGCUGUUAAUAAAUCUCCUGAGGCCAGCAUAAGAAGGUGAUGGGCAAAACUAAUGCAGUAGGAGCUGAAAUCGACCAGGGGGUUCUUAUCCAACAGACAGCAGCAAAACUCUUUGUGUAUCUGCGUUCCUUUCAACAAGUGUGACUUCCUCAAUGGCAUCAUUCGUGAGCGUAACACAGAGCUCAGCAAUAACGUUUCUUCACUAACCCUACCAGGGUUUCAGUUGUGCAAUUUCACCAUUAGGAAAGCUUUUUGCUGAAAUCUGGCUUUUCAAAGGGAGAGUAUCCAGAAACAGAAGAUGCUGAUCUGGGAGGCUCUUCCUAAUAGAACUGCCGCUUCAGUUUAACUUGAAAAAGCCCACACCCAGUUCCUAAUGACAAACAUCUGAACACCGGGUCUUCCCACGAGCAAGACCAUGCUAUGCCUCCUGCUCGCUCUGUUCUAUAAGCAACCCACAGAUUGCUCCCUGUGAAGAGGAGCCUGCCAGGGGAGCAGCAUUCCACCAGACCCUGAUUUAGCAAGAUAUUUCCGUAUCAUUCCCCCAACCAGCUGGAAGUCCUCCACUGCUCUUGUGUAAAAAUCUAACUCAUCUCGCUGAA
rnacentral:lncRNA from 1 species